AAGAUAAGAGGCAGUCAGGAUAGCCAAAGGUGACUGCCCACUAAGCAUUAGGACUAUAAUGACGUGCAAGUGAAGUGGGAGUCUCAAGAGAGAUGAAACUGACCUUCCUUCUCCACAAAAUCCUUGUUUGGAUAUAGGCAAGUCAUCCUUGGCUACCCAACAAGACUCUCUAAUCU
rfam:Gossypium raimondii Chr06_contig_1313, whole genome shotgun sequence.